GUUGAAAUACCGGUUUCCAUACAAUCACCAAAGUUAAGCAAUUUUCAGUCUGGUCAGUACCUAAAUGGGUGACUGCUUGGGAAUACCUGGUGCU